GAGAGAAGGAGUAGAGGAGCCGGUCCCGGUGAAGUGAAGGUAACCAACCUUGCGGGAGAGUCCGGCAGAUCUAACACACAGACGGAUAAAAAAGAAAAGGAAAGAUAGAAGAUAGAAGACGACUAUGUUAAGCAUAUAAAGACUGAUCGUUUAAAGACUAAUCCUUUUCCAACUGUAGAACUAGAAAAUCAAGAAUAAAAAAGCUAGCGCUAAGCAAAGGGCGAGGAUAAGUGCACAGAGAGAGC
rnacentral:lncRNA from 1 species